rnacentral:tRNA from 1 species
UUGUUAGGUGGCCGAGAAAUAGGUGGUAGACUGUAGAUCUAUUAACGGAAUUAAAUUUCCCCAACAAA